rnacentral:rRNA from 1 species
AACGAACGCUGGCGGCAUGCCUAACACAUGCAAGUCGAACGAUGCCUUCGGGCAUAGUGGCGCACGGGUGCGUAACGCGUGGGAAUCUGCCCCUGGGUUCGGAAUAACAGCGAGAAAUUGCUGCUAAUACCGGAUGAUGACGAAAGUCCAAAGAUUUAUCGCCCAGGGAUGAGCCCGCGUAGGAUUAGCUAGUUGGUGAGGUAAGAGCUCACCAAGGCGACGAUCCUUAGCUGGUCUGAGAGGAUGAUCAGCCACACUGGGACUGAGACACGGCCCAGACUCCUACGGGAGGCAGCAGUGGGGAAUAUUGGACAAUGGGCGAAAGCCUGAUCCAGCAAUGCCGCGUGAGUGAUGAAGCCUUAGGGUUGUAAAGCUCUUUUACCCGGGAUGAUAAUGACAGUAACCGGGAGAAUAAGCUCCGGCUAAC